rnacentral:tRNA from 1 species
GCCGGGAUAGCUCAGUUGGUAGAGCANAGGACUGAAAAUC